UACGAAGGGGGCUAGCGUUGCUCGGAUUUACUGGGCGUAAAGGGCGCGUAGGCGGUUCGUACAGUCAGGCGUGAAAUUCCUGGGCUCAACCUGGGGGCUGCGUUUGAUACGUGCGGACUUGAGUGCGGAAGAGGGUCGUGGAAUUCCCAGUGUAGAGGUGAAAUUCGUAGAUAUUGGGAAGAACACCGGUGGCGAAGGCGGCUAUCUGGACCGACAUUGACGCUGAGGCGCGAAAGCGUGGGGAGCAAACAGG
rnacentral:rRNA from 1 species